UAAAAGGGUGUUUGUCUCUUAUGGCAUGCGGGGACGGCGGCACUUGUGCUCGUCGCCCUGUAGGGUAUGGCAAUCAAGACAUACCCAACACAUAAUUUUUGUUCUCGGGGGCUGUCGGUUGCCAGUCGCACAGGCGCCCCU